ACAAUUUUUAAGAACAUUCCUAAAUUCCUUGGCCGGCAACUUUUUCAGUCGACCACAGGAGUUUAUAAAUACAGGUACACCUGCAGUAAAAUCCAUUUUAACAGUGAUACUUAACAGAGAACGUUGCAGAUUUUUUUUAUUUAAAGAGACAUAUAAGAAUUAUCAUUUCAAUAUGCCUGGAGGCUGUGGACCCUGCAGACCAUGCGGACCUUGCAAACCAAGAUCCUCUGCCAAGAAAUCGACAACUAAGUCGUCCGCAAGUAAAUCUGCAGGUACCAAAAAAUCUGCUGCCAAGAAAAAGACUGCUAAAAAGCCUAUCCGUACUAGUAAACCAGCUUCGGGAUCUCGCAGUUCACGUGGUUGCUGUGACUAUUCAUCUUCGGAUUACAGCGAUUCUUGUAGCUGUAGUGACUGCUAUGACAGCUACAGCAGUGACGACUGCUGCUCCAAACCGACGGGACGUUGCAGACGCUAAAAUAAAAAAUGUUAUGGUGGCAUCUAAAUGUUUUAAGUAAUGUACCGUCUCAAUUGGAGCUGCUCUUUUAUAUUUCAUUUUUGUGUAGUAAUUUAAUUUUUAUGUUGUGUAUUUGAUGUGUUUUAACGCUGGUCGUAACUGUAGAGUUAAGUUUAUUAUGAUAUGUACUUUAGUGUUUUUUAUGUUAUAAAUUAUAGUGCUAAUUUUGAUUAAUUUACUAAAUGACUUUUUGCAAAUAUUAAAAAUUUUAAUUGUAUAAGUGAAAAAAAAUUUACAGUAAUAAAAAAACAAUUAUUCUAAA
rnacentral:lncRNA from 1 species